AUACGUAGGUGACAAGCGUUAUCCGGAUUUACUGGGCGUAAAGGGCGUGUAGGCGGUCUUGCAAGUCAGAAGUGAAAUUCCUGAGCUCAACUCGGGCGCUGCUUCUGAAACUGCAGGACUUGAGUGCUGGAGGGGAUAGCGGAAUUCCUAGUGGAGCGGUAAAAUGCGCAGAUAUUAGGAAGAACACCGGUGGCGAAGGCGGCUAUCUGGACAGUAACUGACGCUGAGGCGCGAAAGCGUGGGGAGCAAACAGGAUUAGAUCCCCUGUUAGUCCACGCCGUAAACGAUGAAUACUAGGUGUAGGGGGUAUCGACUCCCUCUGUGCCGCAGUUAACACAAUAAGUAUUCCGCCUGGGGAGUACGGCCGCAAGGUUGAAACUCAAAUGAAUUGACGGGG
rnacentral:rRNA from 1 species